GCCGCUUUAGCUCAGCUGGUAGAGCACAUCAUUCGUAAUGAUGGGGUCGUCUGUUCGAAUCAGACAAGCGGCACCA
rnacentral:tRNA from 1 species